CCCUUAGAUGUCCGGGGCUGCACGCGCGCUACACUGUAGAAAGAAGCGUGCUUUAAAACCUUUCCUGAAAAGGAUGGGUAACCCCAGCAAAAUUCUACGUGCUUGGGAUAGAGAUUUGCAAUUUUCUCUCUUGAACGAGGAAUUCCCAGUAAGUGCGAGUCAUCAGCUCGCGUUGAUUACGUCCCUGCCCUUUGUACACACCGCCCGUCGCUACUACCGAUUGGGAAAAUUUUAGAGAGUCCUGGACUGAUGAUUGUUCGGCUUCACGGCCUUACUUUCGUCGGGAAAGAAUUCGAUAAUAUUUUUCUAGAGGAAGUAAAAGUCGUAACA
rnacentral:rRNA from 1 species